rnacentral:rRNA from 1 species
UACGGAGGGAGCUAGCGUUGUUCGGAAUUACUGGGCGUAAAGCGCGCGUAGGCGGCUUUGUAAGUUAGAGGUGAAAGCCCGGGGCUCAACCCCGGAAUUGCCUUUAAGACUGCAUCGCUUGAAUCCGGGAGAGGUGAGUGGGAUUCCGAGUGUAGAGGUGAAAUUCGUAGAUAUUCGGAAGAACACCAGUGGCGAAGGCGGCUCACUGGCCCGAUACUGACGCUGAGGUGCGAAAGCGUGGGGAGCAAACAGG